rnacentral:rRNA from 1 species
GAUGAACGCUGGCGGCAUGCCUAACACAUGCAAGUCGAGCGAGAAAGUGUAGCAAUACAUGAGUAAAGCGGCGCACGGGUGAGUAACACGUGGAUAACCUGCCUCAGAGUGGGGAACAACACCGGGAAACCGGUGCUAAUACCGCAUAUUCUGACGGAGCCUGCGGGUUUUGUCAGGAAAGGAGCAAUUCGCUCUGAGAGGGGUCCGCGGCUGAUUAGCUAGUUGGUGAGGUAAUGGCUCGCCAAGGCUUCGAUCAGUAGCCGGUCUGAGAGGACGGUCGGCCACACUGGAACUGAGACACGGUCCAGACUCCUACGGGAGGCAGCAGUGGGGAAUUCUUCGCAAUGGGGGCAACCCUGACGAAGCAAUGCCGCGUGGAUGAUGAAGUCUCUUGGGACGUAAAAUCCUUUCGACAGGGACGAAACCGCAAGGUUGACGGUACCUGUAGAAGAAGCCCCGGCUAACUCCGUGCCAGCCGCCGCGGUAA